CACGAACCGGACGAACGUUAUUCGGAAUUAUUGGGCUUAAAGGGUGCGUAGGCGGUGCAGUAAGUGAGGUGUGAAAUCCCACGGCUCAACCGUGGAACUGCGCUUCAUACUGCUGUGCUAGAGGGAGACAGAGGUAAGCGGAACUGAUGGUGGAGCGGUGAAAUGCGUUGAUAUCAUCAGGAACACCAGUGGCGAAAGCGGCUUACUGGGUCUCUUCUGACGCUGAGGCACGAAAGCUAGGGUAGCGAACGGG
rnacentral:misc_RNA from 1 species